GAUGAACGCUGGCGGCGUGCUUAACACAUGCAAGUCGAACGAAGCGCUUAAAUGGAUUUCUUCGGAUUGAAGUUUUUGUGACUGAGUGGCGGACGGGUGAGUAACGCGUGGGUAACCUGCCUCAUACAGGGGGAUAACAGUUAGAAAUGACUGCUAAUACCGCAUAAUGCAUUGGAUUCGCAUGUUUCUGAUGCCAAAGAUUUUAUCGCUGAAAGAUGAGCUCGCGUCUGAUUAGCUAGUUGGCGGGGUAACGGCCCACCAAGGCGACGAUCAGUAGCCGGACUGAGAGGUUGAACGGCCACAUUGGGACUGAGACACGGCCCAG
rnacentral:rRNA from 1 species